rnacentral:lncRNA from 1 species
AUGUUUUCAUCUCUAGCAUGGUGGUUAGUCACAACUGAAUCUUUCAGAGGAGGAAAGAGCAGACACUAGGCACAGAACAAAGAGCAAAUGAAACAGGAACUGUGGAAUAACACUGUGUUCCCAAAGAAAACAUAACUGCCAUAGAUCACAGAAUGAAAGCCCCAGAGCACGCAGCAGAGAAGUCCAGCAACAGGAGUCAACAUUUACAGAAAACCCUGUAGGAAGACUGUGGCACUACCAACUGAUCAACAUGUUACAGAACUCAUUUUAUACUGCAGCCAGGCUGAGGAGGGCCCAUCACCUGCACAUAAAUAUUUGGACAGUGGCGACAACUUGAAGACAGCUAGCUGCAGAGUGAUAUUCCAGAAUAAGAGUUUUGAAGCUCCAGAUGACUAGCUGACCUGGGUAUUAAUGCUGGAUAUAGCAACGUCCUUCUAUGUCCUUCUAAAUUUUCUUCAUGAGUAGUGAUAAGUUAUGCUGAGAAAAAUUCUUGAACCUACAGUUAUACAACAUUGUUCUUGCCGCCUUUCAAAAAUGGACAAUGUCUCCCAUAUGGAAUAUCUACUGAUGAUCUUGCAAGAAGGUGAAUAAAAAAUCCAAUGAAGACAUAAAACGAGUUUCAUUUAAAAAAUCUGGUAAAAUGGAAGUUUGCUUUACACAAACAGUAAAGAAGCCUUGGAAGAUAAUGUUGACUUCCCAUGCUCAAAAGUACUCUGACUCAGGAAGAUAGCUCCAGCCCUUCAAAGGAAGGGCUGUCUGCAAUAAAUGCCCAUGGAGACCUCUCAGCAAUUCCAUAAGAUAAGUGAAUUGGCUUAAAUCAAAUGUUUUGCAGUUCCAUUUACAGAGCAUUUACUGGCCAUCGUGUACUACUCAAGUUACUAGAACACUAAGUUGACUCAUGCUUGGAAAUACUGGUUUUAUGUUGCUAUCAGAGUAUUGUCAUAAAUCCACCCACAAUUACAAAGAGUCCUACUCUGCUGCUGUAGCUACCUUUAACUCCUUGCCCUCAGCAAAUUGUAUGCCUAGGGAGAUGGACUACUUCGGCCUUGAGAAAUUUCCAAUUAGGUCAUUUUGAGAAGCAGUCUGGAUGUGUGGUCUGAAAUAGCAUUUCCAGUUUUUGCCUAUUUUUAUUUUUGAGAACUGCUUGCAAAUAAAUGCCACUGAGUUUGUUAGGA